rnacentral:rRNA from 1 species
CCCGACCCAGCAACGCCGCGCCCAGGAAGAAGGUCUUCGGAUUGUAAACUUCUGUCUUAUGGGACGAUAAUGACGGUACCAUAGGAGGAAGCCACGACUAACUACGUGCCAGCAGUCGCGGUAAUACGUAGGUGGCGAGCGUUAUCCGGAAUUAUUGGGUGUAAAGGGCGCGUAGGCGGGACGUAAAGUCAGAUGUGAAAUGCGGAGGCUCAACCUCCGAACUGCAUUUGAAACUUACGUUCUUGAGUGGAGUAGAGGCAAGCGGAAUUCCCGGUGUAGCGGUGAAAUGCAUAGAUAUCGGGAGGAACACCAGUGGCGAAGGCGGCUUGCUGGGCUUUUACUGACGCUGAGGCACGAAAGUGUGGGGAGCAAACAGGAUUA